UACAGAGGGUGCAAGCGUUAUCCGGAUUCACUGGGUUUAAAGGGUGCGUAGGAGGGCAGGUAAGUCAGUGGUGAAAUCUCCGAGCUUAACUUGGAAACUGCCGUUGAUACUAUCUGCCUUGAAUAUUGUGGAGGUGAGCGGAAUAUGUCAUGUAGCGGUGAAAUGCUUAGAUAUGACAUAGAACACCAAUUGCGAAGGCAGCUCGCUACACAUAUAUUGACUCUGAGGCACGAAAGCGUGGGGAUCAAACAGG
rnacentral:rRNA from 1 species